GCCCAGGUGGCGGAACUGGUAGACGCGCAUGGUUGAGGGCCAUGUUCCUAUUUCUGGAGUGCAAGUUCGAUUCUUGUCCUGGGCA
rnacentral:tRNA from 1 species